rnacentral:rRNA from 1 species
UACAGAGGUCCCAAGCGUUGUUCGGAUUCACUGGGCGUAAAGGGUGCGUAGGUGGGUUUGUAAGUCAGUGGUGGAAUCUCCAAGCUUAACUUGGAAACUGCCGUUGAUACUAUAAAUCUUGAAUGUUGUGGAGGUGAGCGGAAUAUGUCAUGUAGCGGUGAAAUGCUUAGAUAUGACAUAGAACACCAAUUGCGAAGGCAGCUCACUACACAAAGAUUGACACUGAGGCACGAAAGCGUGGGGAUCAAACAGG